rnacentral:rRNA from 1 species
CCUACGGGAGGCAGCAGUAGGGAAUCUUCGUCAAUGGGCGCAAGCCUGAACGAGCAAUGCCGCGUGAACGAGGAGGGUCUUCGGAUCGUAAAGUUCUGUUGAAGGGGAAAAAGAGCGGAGAGAGGAAAUGGUCUCCGAUUGAUAUUACCCUUCGAGGAAGUCACGGCUAACUACGUGCCAGCAGCCGCGGUAAUACGUAGGUGGCGAGCGUUAUCCGGAAUGAUUGGGCGAAAAGGGUGCGUAGGCGGCCUGCUAAGUCUGGAGUGAAAGGUACCGGCUCAACCGGUACAGGCUCUGGAAACUGGCGGGCUAGAGAGCAGGAGAGGGCAGUGGAACUCCAUGUGUAGCGGUAAAAUGCGUAGAUAUAUGGAAGAACACCAGUGGCGAAGGCGGCCGCCUGGCCUGUUACUGACGCUGAGGCACGAAAGCGUGGGGAGCAAAUAGGAUUAGAUACCCGGGUAGUC